UGGGGAAUCUUGGACAAUGGGGGCAACCCUGAUCCAGCCAUGCCGCGUGAGCGAUGAAGGCCUUAGGGUUGUAAAGCUCUUUCACCGGUGACGAUAAUGACGGUAGCCGGAGAAGAAGCCCCGGCUAACUCCGUGCCAGCAGCCGCGGUAAUACGGAGGGGGCUAGCGUUGUCCGGACUUACUGGGCGUAAAGCGCACGCAGGUGGUAAGGCAAGUGGGGUGUGAAAGCCGCCAGCUUAACUGGCGGAGGCCAUGCCAAACUGCUUCACUUGAGGGCUGUAGAGGUAUGUGGAAUUGCCGGUGUAGUGGUGAAAUGCGUAGAGAUCGGCAGGAACACCCAGGGGGAAACCAGCAUACUGGACAGGACCUGACACUCAGGUGCGACAGCGUGGGGAGCGAACCGGAUUAGAUACCCCCGUAGUCC
rnacentral:rRNA from 1 species